rnacentral:lncRNA from 1 species
AGAAAUCGAUUAAGGGAUAAUUAUGUCUUUUUUUUUCACCUUUGUGGUAUCGAGGUAAGUUCAUGUGUAAAUAAUGUAACAUAAUUGUUAUUUUUAAGUUAUUGAUGUUAAAUAUAUGAUAUGCUGAUUUUUAUCAUGAAAUAUAUGCUUUGUGGUUAUUUUUGAAUAAAAUGCAAUUUAUGUGUAUUAUCUGUUAAAUAUAAAGUGCUACCGAGUAUUGGUUUCGGUAUUUUACGGAAGAUGGCAAGGAUAUGUGUUCGAGGAAAAUCCCGUUUGAACCUUAGGAAUAGAUUAAGAUACAAGUGACAUGUCACUACGAUGGUUGAGCAUCCGAACUCGUUGAGUUGAGUUUGAGUUCACUUAAGUGGAUGCGAAUGUUCGAACUCGUUGAGUUGAGUCCGAGUUCGUGAGAUGUAACUAGGCAUCCGAGCUCGUUGAGUUGAGUCCGAGUUCACUUAUGGAUGCGAACGCCCGAGCUCGUUGAGCUGAGUCCGAGUUCACUUAUGGGUGGGUUACAUGGUAGCUUGGCUACAUAUGUGGCACUUAUGUGCAAACUUUCCAUAUAUCCGAAUUAUAUUCCGAUGUGUUCAACGGGUAGAAUUCUACUCAAGAUGAAAGGGACGUAUUGGUAAAUGUUAUGAAAUGGAUACUUUGAACUGGUAUGUACUUAACCCUCAGGUUGAAAACUUGACAUAACAACAAUAUGGUAAGAUGGUAAAUGAAAAUGUGAUAUGAAUGUCUCGGUGAUGAUUAUACAAACGAUGUUGUAUUAAUUUUGUGAACAAUGAUCAUGAAUGAGUAAUUUAGCCUUGACAGAUUUGAGUUACUGCAGUAGUGUAACUUUGAAAAUACACUAAAAAUAGUGGAAAAUGAGUUAGAGGCAGAAUAAAAUAUGGGAUUAAAUCUUAAUGAGUCUAUUUUCACAUGAAAGAAACAGGGGAAGAAAAAGAAUUCCAUAUUAUGUGAUAUUUGAAUUCUUGUGAAACAGGGUCUGAAUGAAUUCGAGAUCCCCUGUUCUGACUUUAGAAAUUCACCAAAAAUUGUAAAAAAUUAUUAAGAGUCAUACCUUACAUGCAUGGAUUCCUUAUUGAGUCUAUUUUUAGGGGAAAUAAACGGCAUGGUCGUUGGAACGUUUUACAGGGAGAAAUUCGGUUUGUAGUGCACAGGGGUCAGAGUGGAAAUACCCUGAAAUAGGGGAGACUUUAACUAAUAAACUGUACUAAUUGGCCUAACCAAAAAUUCUAUAAAAAAAUUAGUAAGUAGACAUAUUAGUCUAGUUUAAAUAGAAAUAGACGAGAACAUUAUUCGAGUCUUGUACUAUGAGAUAAUCAAACUUUAGUACAGAAGGGUCGAAAUUGUCAGACAGUGAAUCUAGGGUAAAUUUGAGGAAUAAAUUGUACUAUUUGGCUUAACUAAAAAUUCUUGAAAUUUUAUGGAAGAAAGGAAAAUAAGUCUAGUUUUAGGUAAAAUUAACAGAACUUGAUUCGGAUUUUCGUAGCUCCAGAUAUAAAUAAUUUAGUGACCGUUGCUUAGAAAGACAGCUUGUAGUGAACUUGAGAAUAUGUUGUAAACAUUGAUAAAACAAGUUAAUGAGUUGCUUAUUGUUUUCAUAUGAACUUACUAUGCGAAAGCUUACCCCCCUCUUCUUUCCCAUGUUUUCUAGAGUUUCCAGGUUAGCUCAGGUUGGAGGCCGUCAGAGAUAUUAUCACACUGUCGAGUUAACGCUAUCGGCGUAAGUAAACUCAAGUGAUUCUAGUCUAUGGCGUGUAUAGGGUUUUAAUGUGAGUAUGUAAUAUUAUGAUUUAGCCAAAGGCAUUGGCUUGUUAUUAAGGUAGUAUUAGUCAUGUAAAUUGGCCUAUGUCGGCUAAUAUCAUUAUGGGCCCAUAUGAUUAUUCUUAUGCAUGUAUGUUAUUAUCUCUUGUGAUGUGGCUUACAACAUGUAUGCCUAGAGAUUGAAUUGAGAUUCAUUGACGAGCUAAUAACUAAUGCAGGAUUAAGUGAUUGGUAAAUAGUUAAU